rnacentral:rRNA from 1 species
AUCGAGUCUUUGAAUGCAAAUUAUGCCCGAAGCCAUUAGGACGAAGGCACGCAUGCCUGGGAGUCACAC